AUCCAGCUGACGAGUCCCAAAUAGGACAAAACGCGCGUCAUGGAU
rnacentral:hammerhead_ribozyme from 1 species